rnacentral:rRNA from 1 species
CCUACGGGAGGCAGCAGUGAGGAAUAUUGGUCAAUGGACGCAAGUCUGAACCAGCCAUGCCGCGUGCAGGAAGACGGCUCUAUGAGUUGUAAACUGCUUUUGUACGAGGGUAACCGCAGAUACGUGUAUCUGUCUGAAAGUAUCGUACGAAUAAGCAUCGGCUAACUCCGUGCCAGCAGCCGCGGUAAUACGGAGGAUGCGAGCGUUAUCCGGAUUUAUUGGGUUUAAAGGGUGCGCAGGCGGCGUGUCAAGCAAGCGGUAAACUAGCGGGGCUCAAC